CGCGGGGUGGAGCAGCCUGGUAGCUCGUCGGGCUCAUAACCCGAAGGUCGGACGUUCGAAUCGUCCCCCCGCUACCA
rnacentral:tRNA from 1 species